rnacentral:lncRNA from 7 species
GGUUUUCCUCAUAUACUUUCACUUAUGGUUCUCAGCUGAGAAAAGUUGUGCCUGAGCUGAUUUUUACAGUCCUUGUAGGAGAUAAGCAAAUAACCUUUGUAAGGUCAAAACUGUGGAGGUUUAGUACAGGGACCGAAUGGUACUAUAGAAAGCCCUGGAUUUCCUCACGGUUAUCCAAAUUAUGCCAACUGCACGUGGAUCAUUAUCACAGGAGAACGAAACAGGAUACAACUGUCGUUUCAUACUUUUGCCCUCGAGGAAGAUUUUGAUAUACUGUCAAUUUAUGACGGACAGCCACAGCAAGGCAAUUUAAAAGUGAGAAUGAGAACAGAUUCUCUCUCCCUCUGUGGUGAUGAAGUAAUGAGGAGGUGAUUUCCAAGAACACGGGAUUUCCUGGCACUGAAAGAGAUAUCCUCUUGUCUCAUAGUUUAUGCAUUAACCAUCAUAAAAAGGAUGAAACUUUCCAAUUGAAAAAUGUGUGUUUUUUUUUAACAUCUAAGCUGUCAGACAUUUAUAUAACUUUUUUAAUGUUUUUUUUUUUAAUUAAUAAAAGAUGGUUGUAACAACAGAAGUUAGAAAAACAAUUCAUUUACUUUAGGGUGGAGGUGGAAAUCUUUGAUUAGUAAUGUAACUGUAGGAAGAGAUGAAGAGUUACAUGGGUGUUAUGGAAGGCAGUCACAUCGGACGUAGUUAAAAUAUAUAAAACUGAAUAAUGUUUGAAAGGUAAAUAUUUCCUCAUUUUUAUUACAGCACAAGUGCUGACUAUGGAAAAUUAUAUUGAGGAAAUAUCGCAUAAGUAAAGUGCAAGGUAUUAUUACUUUUGGAAAUUCUCAGGACUUUGUUUAGAAUAGAGAGUAAUUCAUUGAAUGAUAUUAGAUAUAGAAGACAAACGCAUACAACUAAUUUAGAAAAUGUAACAAGAAACAGCACAGAGACCAUCACUUCAAACAAGUUAGCUGAACCUCAGUGUUGAGAAAGAUAAUUUAUAGUGUAUAUUUGUCAGAUUCAGUUUUAUGUCGUGACUUUCAAAGGCUAAUAUAUGCCAGCAAAUAAGAAGGUGGAUUAGAUUGCUGACUUUGGGUUGAAAAUUUAAUACACAAAACUGUGAAAUCAAAUAGUAAUAUGUCCCACUAUUGUGCAUGUAUUAGAUGUUGUGGUAGUCACUUUAUAUGUUGUUCAUCAUUUUAUUUACUAAUUAUAAUUGCUUUUCCUUUUUCUUGAAACGAAGUGAAAAAAAGCUUGAAAAUCUGUAUAGUAACCUUCCUUUCAAAUGCGUUCACUGCAAAAGGUUACCAUACUCAUUGCAGUAAAAUAAGAGUUUGUUGUUUGGAGGUGAAAAAUUACAGUGUAAAAAAAAUUACAGUGUAGAGUUCUUCAAUAAAUAUUCCAUAGCAC